rnacentral:lncRNA from 1 species
CGGAUCUCUACUGUAAAUAGAUUUCUUCCGAACUUUCAUUACAGGUAGCCUUCAGCCGUGCCUCUUCGUAGCCGAAUCUCAGACGAGCUUCUACCAUGGGGCAGGAUCCACCGACCAGGUCGUUACUCUGAGCUUCCGCAACAACCGAUCUUCGAUCGAGCUCCAACAAUAAGCGGCCUCCCACAAGAACCGAACUCCAUCCGAGCUUCCAUAGCGGAUGAAUUUUGGAUGAGCUUUCGCAACGAACGAGCUCCGACAGCUGGAUUUUUACAAUGGCUGAUCGCCUUUGAAUCCCUCAUACUCCUCCUACAGACGAGCCUCCCCAACGCCAUCCGAAGUCCACCACCGACCGACCUUCCGCCAAGUUUCUUAUGAAACUGGAUUUCUUCAGUGGAUAAUCUUCAAACGAGCUUCCACGCCAAGCAAAUCCCAGACAGACUUCCCAAGCAAUUGGGCUCCUAUCAG